rnacentral:lncRNA from 1 species
GGCGCCAUUUUGUCUCGGCAGCGGUGGCCGUAGCUCCAUCGCAUUUUAUGUUUCUGGCGAGAAGGGAACGGAGUUUUCAUCAGGUAGAUUGGUUUUUGUGCGGCCGUCCUCCACCGUUUCCUCCAGGACAGCACCUAGUCGUGGCCGGAGGAGUCUCAGAGCUGUCAGAAAGGUGAGCAUUUGUACAGUGAAACAUUUUGCUACACAAAAGUGAUGUUUAGGAAUACUAACAAAUUAUUUUCAAGAAUAAGACUGAUUUUAUGGGAAAAUUAAGCAGAUGCUCCAGUUUGAGAAACCUGGAUCUGCGAUCUGUUUGUGGUCUCUAUGAAUAAAGAAAAGCAAAUAGAAUCUUAUCAGGUACCAGCAUCAAGAUGAUUUAUGGUAAUAAGAUAUAAAACCAAGGAAAAUAACCUAAAGUCUGAAAAAGACCAGAAUCGAAGUUUCCUGAUUCAUAUUUUAAUGUUUUGAAAUUUAUACUCCAGGCUGGGUGCAGUGGCUUGUGCCUGUAAUCCCAGCACUUUGGGAGGCCGAGGCGGCCGGAUUGCCUGAAGUCAGAAGUUCGAGACCAGCCUGACCAACAUGGUGAAACCCUGUCUCUACUUAAAAAUACAAAAGAGCUGGGCAUGGAGGUGGUGCGCGCCUGUAACCCUAGCUACUCGGGAGGCUGAGGCCUAAGAAUCUCUUGAACCCAGGAGGCAGAGGUUGUAGUGAGCCGGGAUCACGCCACUGCACUCUAGCCUGGGCGACAGAGAGAGAGACUGUCUAAAAAAGGAAAAGAAAAAAAUUUAUACGCCAAAAAAGAUAUUCUGAGAUAACCUGUAGUUACCACUAACUUUGUGACAAAAUUAUAAAAAUCCACAGCCAUCUAUGAAUCUGUAGGCAGACCUGAAGUUUGAACGACUGGUGAAGACAUCUGAUUUUCUUUAUAGCCAAGUUAGGAUAACAAAAUGCAAACAAGUCAUUAAUAUUUACUAUAUGCAAGAUACAGAAAGAUGAAGGAAGGAGUAAGAAGUUAUCCUUCGUGGAACUAUUCAAAGCAAAAAUGCAAAAUACCAGGGAAAGCUUUGAAGAACCAAGAUUUGAGCAGGUUCUUAGAAUAUAGAUUGGAUUGGAUUUGAUUUCAAGAAAGAUGAACGUGUAAAGCAGAAGUGGGAAGCCAAAAACUUUUUUCCAAAUUAGAAUUAAGCAUUCUUUCAAUGAACAUUUGGAAAUCAAGGUAGAAAAAUAUCCCUAGGGCCUAGCUGAGGAGUCUGUAUGUUGUUGGGUUUUGAUAGUAACCAGUCCAAGAUUUUGUUAUUAGACGUGGGUUUCUGAAUAGACAGGCAUUUCUGAACAGACAUGACAGGAUCAAAACAAUGUUUGAGCAAACUGCCCUUCAUCUACUGUGGAUAUGUUGGGGGAUGAUGGAAUAUAGUGAAAGAUAAUGGGUGCUCAUACAGCAGUCUAGACUUAAGGUGAUUCAACUACUAUAUAUUAAACUAGAUUAUCUUUUAUUUUUUAAUUUUGAAAUCUGGAUGCUCAAGCUCUGCCUGCACAACCACAUGAGGAAGAAGGAACAAUGACAACAAAAAUAACACUAAAUUUAAAUUUAAGAGUACUACUUUUAGGAAAUAGACAAACCAUUAUUUGGGUACAACUAAAGGCAACUGGCAUGGACUCAAAUAUUUUGGGGAAGAAAAAGACUAAAAGUUCUAAGGAAGAAAAUGCGAACCUUGAUAGUUUGAAAUAGUUAAAAAGACAGUGUAGAAACUGCUUAGGCAGUUUGAUUAUGGACUAUUAGAUGAUACUUGGGUCUGAUAAUGGUAUAAGGAGAAUAAAGUAUUUAGGGAUCCAAUAUUACGCCUGCAGCUUUUUCCAAAUAGUUCAUGGGGGAGGGGGAUGUGUAAGUGGUUAACUGAAGUCUAACUAGAUAGGUUUGUUGUAAGCUUAGGAUGUUUACAGUUCUUCAUGUUAAGUUGAGCGUGAUGGGAAGGGAAAGAAUGCUGAUCUUUAAAUUUUUGUCCUUAGUUAAGUUCUGUAUUUAGUGAAUUAAUUGCAUCCUAAAAAGUCAAACUUGAAAAGCACAUUUUAAAUGGCAAAUCUAUUUUUUACAUGUUUGUGAAGUUUUUAUUUUUUAGUAAACAGACCAUCAGAAGAGAACAAUGGUACAGAGCAGGGGUCAGCAGAUGGAUUUUGUAAAGCAUCAACUUGUAAAUAUUUUCAAGUUUAUUAGCUGUAUGGCUCUGGUUUCUGUUCCCUGUUCCAAAUGUUAAAGUCUACUGUUGUAUUCUAAAAGCAGCCAUGGACUGAAUGUAGCUGUGUUCCAAUAAAACUUACACAAAAGCAGGCAGUGGGCCAUAAUUUGCAACACCUGAUUCACAGCAUAAUUUUGUCACAAACUGAAAGUGUUCCUCAAUUAAAGUGAUUUUUUUUUCUUG